UGUAGGUUGGUGUUUUAUUUUAUUUCCAUUUUAUUAUUAUUAUUAUUAUUAUUAUUAUAUAUAUAUUUCAUUUUAGUUUUGCUUUAAAAAAAAAAAAAAAAAAAAAAAAACCUAAACUAAACUGGGAGAGCAAUCCCAUUCUUUGCAGAGAGCAACCAAAAAAAUUAGCCUAAGUGGAUUGAUCCCCCGUCCACGUGGAUCGAUUCCAUUUUACUUGUAUUUCCCCUUCUCAUUACACAGUAAAAGGACAAUUUUUUGUAAAAAAAUAUCGAUCCCCCAGUAAAGGAGAUCGAGCGCCAAUCCAUUCUCGCCCUACCUUCCAUUCCCAAACACAGUUUUCUUCUCCUUCCUUACGAAACCCUUAACCCACCUCCAAUCCCAAUUUGUUGGUUCGCUCCUCGCUGAUCUCUUCUCCUCUUCCACAGUGUCGUGGCUGUGAUUUCUGGCUCCAUGGUUCUGAGUUCUUUUCUGCCGACAGGUUUAGGUUCGCCCUUUGCAUCGCCUCUUUGGGUUUCGGUUGGGUGCGAUUGGGGAAGUUGGGUUGCCGGUUUCUAGGUUGCCGAGUUUGAGGUUCGCCAAGUUUUAUUGCGAGUUUGUGAAUCGUCGUUCUCUCCGGCGAUCGCUGCUGCAUCGCCGGUUCCUUCCGGCGAGUUUCUGCAUCGCCGGUUCCUUCCGGCGUGUUUGUGAAUCGCCAUGUUCUCCAGCGAUUCUGGCUGGUUGGUCUCUGUCGCGUUGCGGGGUUGCGGGUCUCGCCGGUGAUUUCAGCUGGGUUCUCUGUUGCGCUUUUGGGUCGCUUUUCUCUGGCGAUUUUGACUUGUUCUUUCAGUGAGCUUGUGCAGCGAUUUUGGCUAGAUUCCUCUCUGAUACCGGUUGGUUUCUUCAGCGAUUUUUUUUUUUAUUGGUUUCUUCUCCAGCGAGCUUGUGGGUUGCCGUUAUCCUUGUGGUUAAUUGUUUCGGCUAGAUUUUUGCAUCUAAGCUUGGGGGAGACAUCUUUCCUACUGGAUCAAUGCCGGAUUUCAUAAUCUUUGCCAUCACGGUACUCUUUCCAUUAUUUUUCAUUAUUCUCAUUGCACAUUGAGGACAAUGUACAGUUUAUGUUUGGGCGUAACGUCAUCAUGAUUCAUUUUAUUUAAGUUAAGCUUUAAAUGCAUGAUGCGAUUUGAGAUGUGUUUAGUAAUGAUUUCGAACUUUUGAAGCAUAGUGCCUUUGAAAAGCAAGUUGUUCGCGUCUAAUAUUUCUUGUAUGCUCUAGGAUGCCAUUUAGGGGUAAAUUUUUUAUUUUUGAUAUCAUGUUUGCUCUUGUGGUACACAUCAUCUUGUUAGUUGAAAAUGCUUUGAGAGUUUAUUUUAGAAUUCUACACUUGCACUUGCGUACACUAGCAUUCAAUUUGUGGGGUACAUGCUUAGUUGAUUAUUGUUUUGGUUUAUCCCAAUUGAGCUAGUAUGCUUUGAAAACUUUCAUUCUUGAUAAAAUGACCUUGCAAAGAAAAGAAAUAAAAGCACUCACCAAA